GGGGCAGCCACCAACUCCUCUCAACUUCUGCCGCUCGGCUGGGCGAAGCAGAACGCUUCCUGCGCGUCUCUCCUAGGGGCUGAGCCGGGGGUACCUCACAUGUGGUCAGAGCUCACAUGUGACCAAGUCACGCUACAGUGAAUCCAGGACUCCUCAAGGGUCAGGCCACAGCCGUCAUCCAUCACCACCUCAUGGCGGCUCUCCCGGCAAUGUUCGGACUGAGCUUCCAAGCAGUCCCACACCUGGACUGUUCUCCUACACAAAAACCUGUGCAGUCCUAUUUCUUCCUAAUGCACAGCCCAAUUACUUCUUAAACUAUGUCCAAAGGACAACUUGUAAGAGGGCUACUAGCACCUGUGUAGUAAUGUGGGUUUCUCUCUCUCUCUCUUUUUUUCUUUUUUUUUGCAUAAAAACAAUGUUAUUUCUUCCCUGCUCUGGUAAUAUCUGAUUAAAUCAAUUCAUUCUAGUUUUGUGCUAGAAAUGAUUCGGUUUGUUUUGGCUAUGUUAACAAUAUUUAGGAGACAUUUGCUUAAUAGUUCUGUAUUAAUAGCUAAACCCUCGGUGUUUUAUGCCCCUAAGAAGCUGAGUGUUAUUUUUACCUGCUUGUCUCUCAGUCAGGGAAGCACUGAAAAGACAUCUAGACAUUUUUUUUUCUCAGUGGCCUAUAAUGAAAACCAAACUUCUGUGGAGAAGGGGACAGACGGAUAUAGUAGUAGAACCAUGAAGGUACUAAGAUACUCUUUCUAAAAUGCUAUCACAAGAGAAAUUAACUUUUUCUUCUUGGUUGAGAUUGUACACUCCACUCCUUUCCUCCUUUUCAAAUCUUUCAUAAAGGCUCAUCUUUUCCUGGAAAAAUCUCUCCUAAAUCUCCCAAGGCCAGCUGGAAAUCAAUUCAGUCUAUCCGGUGCAAGAACUUAACACACAUUUUCUUCCAUUAGCUCUUGUAUAGCAACUACUGUAAGCCCCAUGCUGCACUAGGCAUUCUGGACCAGAAAAUGAGAAGACAUAUAUCCCUGCCCUAAUGACACGUCUUCCACGAAGAGAUGGCUAUAAAUUCAGGUACUAUCAGGCAUCAGAUGCAUUGUUUCUUCGAGAUUGAAUAUAGCUAUAAUCAAUGGUUUAGAGUCAGGUAGGCCACAUAAGAAGUAUCUACCAAUAUAGAUAGACAGGGAGACCCUGGAGGCUCUAGGGCCUGGACCAGAAGCAUAGUAGCCUGCAUUCAAGUAAGACUGGGGACACAUUCUUAAUCAAAAUACCAAAGUUCUUCUGUACCUUGGAAGCUUUUUUGGGUGAGAAGUUUUGCAACCUUGGCCCUUCAAACUCAUUAUGUAUGGAUGUCCCGUUGCGAUCUCUGCUGUUUCAGAGGUAGCCCCUCCUGAAAGUGCAUCGUGAGCAGAUGCCAUCUGUUUCCUUUCUGGACUAUUUAACCACCCUGGUCUCAAUUCUUCUCUUCCAAGAAGGUUUUAUUUCUUUUGUAAAUUUAGACUUUGCUAGAUUUUUUAAAUUUAAAACUUCACCCCUCUAGGGUAAUAGUAAUAUUUUGCUGUGUAUCCUCCAUUUUUUGCUCAUGCAAAUGCAUAUAUAAUCAUUUAUAUAACAUUUGUUUAUAUAAAUGCAUAUAUAACCCCUAAGUAUGUGCAGUUGGUAUGCAUUGCAUAGAAGUAGAAUCAUAUUACAUGCAUUACUUUCCAGGUUGUUACAUGUAAAUCCAGGUUAUGACUUUUAAGAGCAAUGUAACAUCUUACUGUAUGGAUAAAACACACUUUUCAAAACCCCCUUGGAAGAGAAGAAUUGGAUAAACCCCACUGAUGGACUUUCCAGUUGUUUCUCAUUCCCAAUAUUGCAAUAAAUGUUCUUUUAUGUAUAUCCUUA